rnacentral:rRNA from 1 species
CCAGGACGCCAGUUUUGGCGGAGCCAUCCUUGGGAUACCACCCUUGUAGUACUGGGACUCUAACCAUAGGCCAUGAAUCUGGUCUUGGGACACUGUCAGGCGGGCAGUUUGACUGGGGCGGUCGCCUCCCAAAAGGUAACGGAGGCGCUCAAAGGUUCUCUCAGUACGGUCGGAAAUCGUACGUAGAGUGUAAAGGCAAAA